GCCCUGUUGGUGAAGUGGUUUAACACGCUGCCCUCUCAAGGCAGUAUACACGGGUUCGAACCCCGUACAGGGUACCA
rnacentral:tRNA from 1 species